GUUUCUGUAGUUGAACAACAACGGUGGUUCUUCAAAUCAUUAGUCUUAGUUAAAGUCUGAGUAGAAAUU
rnacentral:tRNA from 1 species